rnacentral:rRNA from 1 species
AGAGUUUGAUCCUGGCUCAGGACGAACGCUGGCGGCGCGCCUAACACAUGCAAGUCGAACGGAGCUUAGAGAGCUUGCUUUUUAAGCUUAGUGGCGAACGGGUGAGUAACGCGUGAGUAACCUGCCCUAGAGUGGGGGACAACAGUUGGAAACGACUGCUAAUACCGCAUAAGCCCACGGUACCGCAUGGUACUGGGGGAAAAGGAUUUAUUCGCUUUAGGUUGGACUCGCGUCCAAUUAGCUAGUUGGUGAGGUAACGGCCCACCAAGGCGACGAUUGGUAGCCGGACUGAGAGGUUGAACGGCCGCAUUGGGACUGAGACACGGCCCAGACUCCUACGGGAGGCAGCAGUGGGGGAUAUUGCACAAUGGGGGAAACCCUGAUGCAGCGACGCCGCGUGGAGGAAGAAGGUUUUCGGAUUGUAAACUCCUGUCGUUAGGGACGAUAAUGACGGUACCUAACAAGAAAGCACCGGCUAACUACGUGCCAGCAGCCGCGGUAAAACGUAGGGUGCAAGCGUUGUCCGGAAUUACUGGGUGUAAAGGGAGCGCAGGCGGGAAGACAAGUUGGAAGUGAAAACCAUGGGCUCAACCCAUGAAUUGCUUUCAAAACUGUUUUUCUUGAGUAGUGCAGAGGUAGAUGGAAUUCCCGGUGUAGCGGUGGAAUGCGUAGAUAUCGGGAGGAACACCAGUGGCGAAGGCGGUCUACUGGGCACCAACUGACGCUGAGGCUCGAAAGCAUGGGUAGCAAACAGGAUUAGAUACCCUGGUAGUCCAUGCCGUAAACGAUGAUUACUAGGUGUUGGGGGAUUGACCCCCUCAGUGCCGCAGUUAACACAAUAAGUAAUCCACCUGGGGAGUACGACCGCAAGGUUGAAACUCAAAGGAAUUGACGGGGGCCCGCACAAGCAGUGGAGUAUGUGGUUUAAUUCGAAGCAACGCGAAGAACCUUACCAGGUCUUGACAUCCGAUGCAUAGCACAGAGAUGUGUGAAAUCCUUCGGGACAUCGAGACAGGAGGUGCAUGGUUGUCGUCAGCUCGUGUCGUGAGAUGUUGGGUUAAGUCCCGCAACGAGCGCAACCCUUAUUGCCAGUUACUACGUUAAGAGGACUCUGGCGAGACUGCCGUUGACAAAACGGAGGAAGGGGGGGAUGACGUCAAAUCAUCAUGCCCUUUAUGACCUGGGCUACACACGUACUACAAUGGCGUU